rnacentral:rRNA from 1 species
UGGGGAAUCUUGCGCAAUGGGCGGAAGCCUGACGCAGCAACGCCGCGUGUGGGAAGACGGCUUUCGGGUUGUAAACCACUUUCAGGGGGGACGAAGCUUCCGAGGUUAAUAGCCUACGGGGUGACGGUACCCCCAGAAGAAGCCCCGGCUAACUACGUGCCAGCAGCCGCGGUAAUACGUAGGGGGCGAGCGUUGUCCGGAAUCAUUGGGCGUAAAGCGCGUGUAGGCGGCUUGAUAAGUCUGGUGUGAAAUCUUGGGGCUCAACCCCAAGCCUGCACUGGAUACUGCCAAGCUUGAGUCCGGGAGGGGAGAGCGGAAUUCCUAGUGUAGCGGUGAAAUGCGCAGAUAUUAGGAAGAACACCGGUGGCGAAGGCGGCUCUCUGGAACGGUACUGACGCUGAGACGCGAAAGCGUGGGGAGCGAACAGGAUUAGAUACCCUGGUAGUCCACGCCGUAAACGAUGGGCACUAGAUGUGGGCGGUGUCGACUCCGUCCGUGUCGAAGCUAACGCAUUAAGUGCCCCGCCUGGGGAGUACGGCCGCAAGGCUA